UAGAGGAGCUCAAGGCUUUUCUUUGGUCAUGUUUAUGCCAAAAGAAAUUAUUACAAAAGUAUCCCUUAUUGUAUCAGGUACUUUAUAUCAAAGUGCCAAGGGAUAUAAUUUUAGGUCAGUUGCAGAAAUGCUUAUACUUAAGAAGACUUCAGAAACAUUAAAUCCAUCAAGCAGAGGUAGUAUGGAAAAGGGUCUUGAUCUCAAGGAAGGAGAAGCUAAAGCCAUUUUUGAAGAAUUGAUCAGUAGAGAAAGUAUGGAUGAGCAUAACUCCUCACUGAUUCAAUUUCACUUUAUAUUGUUGGCAUUGAUCCUUGGUGAUUCGAAAAAAGAUUCUCUAUCCUUAUCAACCAAGAAUGAAACUAAUUCAUGGUUGAAACAUUUAGAGGAUUUGAUUAUGCAAUCACAUCACCUAAAUGAUUUCCCUUUGGAUUGGUUUCAAGAAGGCAUAAGUGGAUACUAUAAAUUGGAUUUGUCUAAGAAGUUUAAACUGAUGACUUUUCUUUGUGACGAAGCUUUGAACACUGCGUAAGUAUUUCAAGUCCUAUUAAAAACUAUUCCUUUUUUGUGUAUUCUUCUUUUGUUUUGUUACUUUUCAAUGAAUAUUGAUUUCUUGAAAACUUUUUUUCUUUUGCCUCUUUUCUGAAUCAAUGAGCUGAACUGGGACAUAGAAUGAAUAUGAAAGAAUCAAUUUUAGUAAAGAAGAAAGGUAGCAGACGAAACCAUGAAAGAAUCUAUAGUGGUUCUGCUUGAGUAAGAUUGUUUACUAUGACUGAUAUUGUUUUUGUAAAUGUGAAAUGUUGCAAACGUGGGGUCCAAACAUGCUAUACUUUUAGAAGGAAUUAGGUUCUGAUUGUCAGCUGAGAUUUCCUUGGUACAAAAUGAAAGAAUCUGAGAGUAUAGCAAUACAAUACUUGUAUAUACAUACAUGUUUUCUCCAAUGAUGAUUUUCCUGUGGUGAAUUAGGUAUAGGGAGAAUGCUGAAGAGGUUGCAGAGUUGGCUAAUUGGACAUGUCCGAAGUGUCGAGGCAUUUGCAACUGUAGUUUUUGCCAGUGGGUUUCUUUUAGAUUUUUUCUAUUUGCUUUUUGAGUUGGUUGUGUAUCCAUGAGUUCAUUCUGAUAAAGGAGUUAUGUUUGUAGAAAGCCUACUGGUCCCUUAUAUCGUAGUACCAAUGAAUCUGGCUUUAAGUCAGUUGCAUAAAUGUUUACAAUGAAGAAGAAUUUAGAAACAUCAAAUCCAUUAAAUGAGGGUAAUUUGAAAAAGGUAUGCUAUUUUUCUACCUGUCCCCUUUGCUAAAUCUCUUGUGGUUGACAGAUUUGGUUGAAAAGGAUUUCUUGUUUAACUGUGCAAAUUUAUGAUAUGUUAAUGAUGAUAUGAGUGAAUGUGUUUAUAUUUCAAUUUAUGAUAAACUUUUCAUGAGAUGGUUCGUGUUCUUUUUUGUUAUUUCUUGCAGGAUCCUGAAGUAUUUCUCUUAGGGGAACUUGGAAAUGAACAUUUUUCAGAUGUAAAUGUCACUGAAAUUUGCACCAAAGAUAAUGGUGGUGAGAAUUUUGGAAUGAACUUAGAGCAAAACAUUUACAGAGGAAAUUCUUUUGCCACCUGGCAUGGAGUUAAAAGAAAUAUUUGGCAUUGAGUAAAGAGGUUGGAAAUGCUUUGCAGAUUUUAGAGUUUUGCAGAGUAUUAUUGGAAAGGCUCUCGAUCUCAAGGAAGGAAAACCUGAAGCCAUUUUCAAAGAAUUGAUCAGUAAAGAAAGUAUGGAUCAAGAAAGUAUGGAUCAACAUAACUCCUCAAUGAUCCAAUUUCACAUUAAAUUGUUUGCAUUGAUAGUCUCCAUCCUUUAUCAACCAAGAAAGAAAAUCAUUCAUGGUUGAAACAUUUCGAGGAUUUGAUUAUAUAUCACCUUGUAAAUGAUUUCCCUUUGGAUUGGUUUGAAGAACGCAUCACCGGAUCCAAUAAAUUGGAUUUGAAUUUGAUGACUCUUUUUGUGAGGAAGCUUUGAACACUAAAAAAGUAAGGACCAGGGCGAAAAUUCAAGACAUGCAAAAGUAGUUAAAGAAGCAAAACUUAAGAUUGCUGCAGCUAAGGAAAAGGUAAAGUGUCUUGUACAGAAGAUGUAGAAUGAGAAGGCCAAAAUGGAGGAGCAAGAUGCUGUUAUGAAGAUAAGAACUGAGGUUGACGAAGCACACACUGAGAUGUUCAUGUUGAAGAGAACAAGUGAAAAAUGUUUCGGUGGAAAUCUCUAUAUGGUGGCCAGAGUAGGUUCCUCCUUUGUUUUCGGACUUAAGAGACCUUCAUUAUUGUAAUUGUUGUAUAUAAUUUUUUUGCAUUAGUUGAAUACGAAAUGAAAUGAUUUUUUGUAAUUUAAUUUUUUAUAGUUGUAUUCUUUUUAUUUAACUAGUUAGAUGUACAAUAAUAUAUUCAUUUGUAAAGUGAUAAUGUAUUCUGAAUAUUUCUAAUAGUAAC